rnacentral:rRNA from 1 species
GACGAACGCUGGCGGCGUGCUUAACACAUGCAAGUCGAACGGAAAGGCCCUUUUGGGGGUCCUUGAGUGGCGAACGGGUGCGUAACACGUGAGUAACCUGCCCUUGACUUCGGGAUAACUUCAGGAAACUGGGGCUAAUACCGGAUAGGAAUCCUUGCUGCAUGGUGGGGGUUGGAAAGCUUCGGCGGCUUUGGAUGGACUCGCGGCUUAUCAGCUUGUUGGUGGGGUAGUGGCUUACCAAGGCAUUGACGGGUAGCCGGCCUGAGAGGGGGAACGGCCACAUUGGGACUGAGAUACGGCCCAGACGCCUACGGGAGGCAGCAGUGGGGAAUAUUGCACAAUGGGCGGAAGCCUGAUGCAGCAACGCCGCGUGCGGGAUGACGGCCUUCGGGUUGUAAACCGCUUUCAGCAGGGGCGAAGCUUUUGUGACGGUACCUGCAGAAGAAGCACCGGCUAACUACGUG